AAAAUAAAUACAUGCUAGAAACAGAAGCAUCUGGGUCACAGCUAUAUUAGAGCUACCUGUGUUCCCCUGUCACUGACAUUAAAACAAAAAUGUCCAAUACAAUCAUUCACAGCGUGGGAGAGGGGAAGUUGAAGGAUGGAAAGGCCAGGCAUAAAAGGAUUUCAGAAUUUCCGUCCAUAAGGAAGUAGCUUUGUGCACUGUCUGUUACUGUGUGCAAGGUGAAAUUUGAAGAAUGAAAACGUGCAGUAACAAGGGCUCCUUUGUCCAACUCACCUCUCCAGAUACCAAGUUUCAGACAUGUUGCAUUUUAAUUGAAAGGUUGAUAUAAUUUUUUUUAAAGAACACUUGCGGUGUUUGAAGUGACAAAGGCUGCUGUGACAAAAAAGCAGGGAAAGGGAAUUUUUUUUUAAAAGCAAACAACAACAACAAAAACCCCACAGAAAAGCAAACAACAAACAAACAAAAAACAGAGGAAGAAGUCGAACACCCUGGGCUGUGACUACUUCCAGGAAGGGGCUACAAGAGGCAGUUGGAAAUUCUAUUUGUUUUGCAACUGUGGGUUUUCCGGCCCGCUUCCUUUCUAAAGUAUAUUACUCUGCUUUUGGUUCAUGAAGUUAUCCAUUUCUGUUUUCUGGAACAGCUAUGUAUUUUCUUUAUCUAUCAUCUAUCUAUCUAUUUACCAUCUAUCUUUUCUACCUUUCGCUAUCAAGAGCUUGGGUCAAGCAGGAUAGAAUUCCAGUGUAUGUUCACUCUACCAUUUAAAACAAGAGCUCUUGUAGGCAUUCUCCAUCACAUCAUAAACCUGAGCUUUCUAAAACAGGGUGUGGCAAACUACCAUGCAUGGACCAUGUCUGACACAGUCUGC
rnacentral:lncRNA from 10 species